rnacentral:misc_RNA from 1 species
GCAAACUUGGUCAUUUAGAGGAAGUAAAAGUCGUAACAAGGUUUCCGUAGGUGAACCUGCGGAAGGAUCAUUAAAAAUUUUUUUGAACCUUUUUUAUGGAUCAAAAAAAAUCCAUAAAUCCACCUUGUGUGCAACUAUUGAAAAAAAGGUAGCCUUUUGGGAGAUGGGGAUUUCAAAUUUUAUGGAAUUUCUCAUCUCCCAGAGGGUAAAUUUAAUCUACAAUUUUUUUUUAAUGACUGAAAAUUUUUUAAUUAAAUAAUUAAUAAAACAACUUUCAACAACGGAUCUCUUGGCUCUCGCAUCGAUGAAGAACGCAGC